rnacentral:rRNA from 1 species
UGGGGAAUAUUGCACAAUGGGCGCAAGCCUGAUGCAGCGACGCCGCGUGCGGGAUGGAGGCCUUCGGGUUGUAAACCGCUUUUGUUCAAGGGGCAAGGCAGGCUUUCGGGCCUGUUGAGUGGAUUGUUCGAAUAAGCACCGGCUAACUACGUGCC